UACGAAGGGGGCUAGCGUUGCUCGGAAUCACUGGGCGUAAAGGGUGCGUAGGCGGGUCUUUAAGUCAGGGGUGAAAUCCUGGAGCUCAACUCCAGAACUGCCUUUGAUACUGAAGAUCUUGAGUUCGGGAGAGGUGAGUGGAACUGCGAGUGUAGAGGUGAAAUUCGUAGAUAUUCGCAAGAACACCAGUGGCGAAGGCGGCUCACUGGCCCGAUACUGACGCUGAGGCGCGAGAGCGUGGGGAGCGAACCGG
rnacentral:rRNA from 1 species